rnacentral:rRNA from 1 species
GAUGAACGCUGGCGGCGUGCCUAAUACAUGCAAGUAGAACGCUGAAGGAGGAGCUUGCUCUUCUGGAUGAGUUGCGAACGGGUGAGUAACGCGUAGGUAACCUGCCUGGUAGCGGGGGAUAACUAUUGGAAACGAUAGCUAAUACCGCAUGACAACAGUUAUUGCAUGAUAACUGUUUAAAAGGGGCAACUGCUCCACUACCAGAUGGACCUGCGUUGUAUUAGCUAGUUGGUGAGGUAACGGCUCACCAAGGCGACGAUGCAUAGCCGACCUGAGAGGGUGAUCGGCCACACUGGGACUGAGACACGGCCCAGACUCCUACGGGAGGCAGCAGUAGGGAAUCUUCGGCAAUGGACGGAAGUCUGACCGAGCAACGCCGCGUGAGUGAAGAAGGUUUUCGGAUCGUAAAGCUCUGUUGUAAGAGAAGAACGAGUGUGAGAGUGGAAAGUUCACACUGUGACGGUAUCUUACCAGAAAGGGACGGCUAACUACGUG